rnacentral:rRNA from 1 species
AGCCUGAUGCAGCCAUGCCGCGUGUAUGAAGAAGGCCUUCGGGUUGUAAAGUACUUUCAGCAGUGAGGAAGGUGGUGCAUUUAAUACGUGCAUCAUUUGACGUUAGCUGCAGAAGAAGCACCGGCUAACUCCGUGCCAGCAGCCGCGGUAAUACGGAGGGUGCGAGCGUUAAUCGGAAUUACUGGGCGUAAAGCGCAUGCAGGUGGUGUGUUAAGUCAGAUGUGAAAGCCCGGGGCUCAACCUCGGAAUUGCAUUUGAAACUGACAGACUAGAGUACUGUAGAGGGGGGUAGAAUUUCAGGUGUAGCGGUGAAAUGCGUAGAGAUCUGAAGGAAUACCGGUGGCGAAGGCGGCCCCCUGGACAGAUACUGACACUCAGAUGCGAAAGCGUGGGGAGCAAACAGGAUUAGAUACCCUGGUAGUCCACGCCGUAAACGAUGUCUACUUGAGGUU